AUGAAAAACCCUGGGAAAUCACACCCAGUAGAACACUCUAUGGAUUAUGCCCGUUUUCGACAAGUACAGUUACUAGGGAAUUUACGGACGUUGACAGCCAAACAAAUUCCUCCCCACACUUGUAAUCCUAGCAGCUCACAGAAAUACACAUAUAAGUAUAGUUCCUCUUACGCUAAGUGGAAAGGCAGGAUAAUUCUAAACUCGGAUGCAGCCAAACAGGUGACAAGCACAUGCGAGGGCGGUACACAUACGCGCCUGGGGAAAGAAAAAAAAAACACCACCCAUCUGCAUGCACGCAUCUGUCCAAGCCGCGCCACCACACCAGUCCCUACCCCAGGUUUCCAGAAACUACACGAACGAAUAUCUUCCCUCCCUACUUAA
rnacentral:rRNA from 1 species